CUGCCAACCUACCUAUCGCUGCUAAUCUAUCGCUGCUGCCAACCUACCUACCGCUGCCAACCUACCUAUCGCUGCCAACCUACCUACCACUGCUAAUCUAUCGCUGCUAAUCUAUCACUGCUAAUCUAUCGCUGCCAACCUACCUACUGCUGCCAACCUACCUAUCACUGCCAACCUACCUACCACUGCUAAUCUAUCUAUUGCUGCUAAUCUAUUGCUGCUAAUCUAUCUAUUGCUGCUAAUCUAUUGCUGCUAAUCUAUCUAUUGCUGCUAAUCUAUUGCUGCUAAUCUAUCACUGCUAAUCUACCUACCACUGCUAAUCUAUUGCUGCUAAUCUAUUGCUGCUAAUCUAUCACUGCCAACCUACCUACCACUGCCAACCUACCACCGCUGCAAAUCUAUCACUGCUGUCAAUCUAUAUAGGGUAAAUCAUGGUCCCAUUUGUUUACAAAAUGGGACCAAAUGGAACCAGAAUCACUAAUUUAUUAGUAAAACAUGAUCUGGGACUAGAUUUAUAAUAUAAACAGUGUAAAGUGACUAAUUUACUAAAUACUAUAUGGGACUAGGACUAAGAUAUCUAAUAAUGGGACU
rnacentral:sRNA from 2 species